UCUACAAGCUUUGGUCCGAUCCCAUUUUAGUCCGACAAUGAAAGCUCUCUUAUACAAGCUUGACUAAGAAAACCCGCAAAUACUUCUUCACAGUUGGGCGAGCAGUGCUUAUGGCAGAGAAGAGAGCGAAAGAAAGCAAAGAAAAUCUCUACAAGUGAAACUAUUUGUUUUAGAUUAGCAUGCAACCAGAAAAGAAACUGAAACUCUAGCUUCCCAGUUUCCUUUUAAUCUAAUGUCAAGGAAUUUUAAAGAAAAUAGAAAUUUUCUUUACUGGCUGUGCGUUUGUCUAUGUUUUGUAGAUGUCUUGGCGAGGUAAAGGUCGAGGUCGAGGGCUAGGGGGAUUUGGAGGAGGAGGGUUCGGCUAUAUAAAGCAACAGCCUUUUGUGGAGUUUCUAGAGCCAGAGCAUGGACAUAGAAAGGUUUUCUGAUUGGGGAAAGUCAAAGACCACAUCAAAACGUGAUGAACUAAACAAUUUUCUAUUCCUCGCAUCUAUGCAUUUUCCUGAAGAACUUGUUCAAGGUUUUCUUAGUAUAUCUUUUGCUUCUGUGUUCUCUCUCUCUCUCAAUCUCUUUUUUUAAUACUUUAGUUUUAAAUGGUUUUCUUGGAUACUGUUCUGAUGGUGCAAUAAUGGCUCAGGUGCAAAGAAAGAGCAGCCAAAUCCCAAAAAAGUUCAAUGGAACCCAGAUUUAGGUCUGAAUAGAUGGCAUGGCAUGUUCUUAAUUUCCAUAGAUUUAGUUGUUUCUGAAUGUUGUCAUUUUGAUAAUGCCUUUUUAAAAAAUUCAAGGUCUAUCUUGACAUUGUCCUUUUGGAUUUAUUUUUGUCCAUAUAAGCAUCAUAAUAAAUGACAUGAACAAGUUUCUGUGCUUUAUUGAUGUUGAUUAAUUCUAUGCUACGCGUAUUCAUAUUUUUAUUCCAAUUGCUUGCCUGUGCUUUUACUUAGUUUGAAUAGCUGGUUUGAAAUUUGCAACGUCUUUAAUGAUCAUAUGUGAUAUGUUCUAUAAAGUGCCCAUGCUCUGUUUCUUUGCAACUGUCUUGCAACAUGAAGUUUUUCAAUAUUAAUUAAAUCUAUUUGGAUUGUGUAUUGUAGACCAGAAAAAGUUCGAUCUGUUUGAGAAGCUUGAACAUAAGUAUAAGAUAAAAAGUUUGUAGAUUUAUAAAUCUUAGUAAAAACUUAUUAUAGCAUCUUAUGGACCCUAAUGUUGAUUCUUUUUUUCUUUUGGCAUUGGACUUCAAAGUCUGGGGCCUUUUAUUAUGUCUGCCUUGUGAACUUAGUUCCAACAGAUUCUUUGUGUGGUUAUCUGAUAUCUCCAGGGACAAGAGGAAAAAGGUGAAAAGGAAAAGAAAGAAGAUGAAGAUGAAGAAGUAGAUAAAGCUGAGGAAGAUUUCAGUGAUGAUGACUGUAAUCAGACGAACCUGUAUAAUAGGUGGCCUUCAAAGAAUGUUUCCCUGGCAUUCAGCUGACAGUAUGGUGCGAGUACUAUGAAUAUGGAAAUGAUUUUCAGUGGUAGAUAUCAAUUCUCAACUAGCUAUUAUUCAUGGUGGUAACACUACAUGUGCAAGGGCCUUUUUAUCUUUUAACAGUUACCUAAUGUAAGUCUCAUCAUUUUCCUUUUUCAUGGUAGAAAAUACUUAGCAACAAGAAUGCAGUUGCAUAUUCUGUCAUGGUCGAGCAAAUUUGGAAAUGGUAAUAUGCAUAAGAAUUCUUCACUAUAGCCCAGUAACAGAAAUUGAAAGCUUCAAAUAAAAUUGAGCUUUAUAUGAAAGUAGUAAUCAGUCUUGAAGAGAGAGAAUUCAUAUGAAAAAAAUAGGCAAUCAACAAGUUCCUAUAAUACUUCAAUAUGCAGGUUACUGGCAACAAAUUGAAACGGAAUUAUGACUAUAGCACAUACAGGUUACACAAGCAUGAAAGGGCUUACUAGCCUAAAAAUUAUUGCAUCAGGAUUCUAAGAAGUGGGUUGCCUUGAUACGGUCAAUAAAAGCCGAAGCUUUAUCAUUUAUGCGAGGAUCAGCAGGCCAUGGACUGUCAUCUUCAUCGCUAGGCCGCACCUUCCCAGACCGCAUACCAUGGCUAGAACCAUCUUCUUCUCUGCAAGGUUUCCGCGGCUUGAAUAACUUAAGAACAGGGAAAGCCUUCUUCUGCUUCUUGUUGUCACCCAUGAUUGUUUAAAUUGCUGCUUCUCCCCUAGUUUUGGUGUUUGCACAACCCUAACUGAGAAGGAACUUGAAGUGCUGUUUCUUGGGUAUGAAAUGUUAAGCAAGAUUUAUUAUAUUUAUAAUAGCAGGAGGUGCAAUGGGUUUGGUUUUGGUUGGAGAAUCUGGAAACUAGAAGGAAACUGGACUGCUACUUCCCUGCUUGACCCUUUGUUGUGUCUCCUUUCGCUUUCACUCUUCUUUGGAAAUUCUCGUCAUUUUUGGUCGGUUGGCUAUUGCAUGCUCAAUCUUUAGGGUAUUUCCUUUCUUUUUCUUCUUCAACGAAUAAUGAUUCACACGUUUUCGAGUUUCUU